GACGAACGCUGGCGGCGUGCUUAACACAUGCAAGUCGAACGGAAAGGCACUGCUAUUGUGGUGUGCUCGAGUGGCGAACGGGUGAGGAACACGUGAGUAACCUGACCUAGACUUUGGGAUAACUUCAGGAAACUGGGGCUAAUACCAGACCGGAGCCCCUGCUGCAUGGUGGGGGUGGGAAAGUUUCGGCGGUUGGGGAUGGACGCGCGGCUUAUCAACUUGUUGGUGGGGUAGUGGCUUGCCAAGGCUGUGACGGGUCCCCGGCCGGGGAGGGUGGCCGGCGACAAUAGGACUGCGAGACGGCCCAGACGGCUACAGGGGGCAGCAGUGGGGAAUAUUGCCCAAUGGGAGGAAGCCGGAUGCGGCAACGCCCCGGGUGGGAUGACGGCCUUCGGGUUGUAAACCGCUUUAGCCUGUUACGCAGCGUUAGUGACGGUAAUGGGUAAAGAAGCACCGGCUAACUACGUG
rnacentral:rRNA from 1 species